rnacentral:rRNA from 1 species
ACGCUCGACACCUACGGAAGGCAGCAGUGGGGAAUAUUGCACAAUGGGGGAAACCCUGAUGCAGCGACGCCGCGUGGAGGAAGAAGGUCUUCGGAUUGUAAACUCCUGUUGUUGGGGAAAAAGAGGAUGGUACCCAACAAGGAAGUGACGGCUAACUACGUGUCAGCAGCCGCGGUAAUCUGAGCGGGCUGGCAAGGC